GACGAACGCUGGCGGCGUGCCUAAUACAUGCAAGUCGAACGCUGAAGGAGGAGCUUGCUUCUCUGGAUGAGUUGCGAACGGGUGAGUAACGCGUAGGUAACCUGCCUGGUAGCGGGGGAUAACUAUUGGAAACGAUAGCUAAUACCGCAUAACAGUAGAUAUCGCAUGAUAUCUACUUGAAAGGUGCAAUUGCAUCACUACCAGAUGGCCCUGCGUUGUAUUAGCUAGUUGGUGAGGUAACGGCUCACCAAGGCGACGAUACAUAGCCGACCUGAGAGGGUGAUCGGCCACACUGGGACUGAGACACGGCCCAGACUCCUACGGGAGGCAGCAGUAGGGAAUCUUCGGCAAUGGACGGAAGUCUGACCGAGCAACGCCGCGUGAGUGAAGAAGGUUUUCGGAUCGUAAAGCUCUGUUGUAAGAGAAGAACGAGUGUGAGAGUGGAAAGUUCACACUGUGACGGUAUCUUACCAGAAAGGGACGGCUAACUACGUG
rnacentral:rRNA from 1 species